UAAUACAGAGGGUGCGAGCGUUGUCCGGAAUCACUGGGCGUAAAGGGCGCGUAGGCGGCCCCUUAAGCGUGUCGUGAAAGCGCGGGGCUCAACCCCGCGUCGGCGAUGCGAACUGGGGGGCUGGAGCACGUCAGAGGCAGGCGGAAUUCCGGGUGUAGCGGUGGAAUGCGUAGAGAUCCGGAAGAACACCGGUGGCGAAGGCGGCCUGCUGGGACGUGGCUGACGCUGAGGCGCGACAGCGUGGGGAGCAAACAGGAUUAGAUACCCUGGUAGUCCACGCCGUAAACGAUGGGUACUAGGUGCUUGGGGGAGCGACCCCCUGGGUGCCGGCGCUAACGCAUUAAGUACCCCGCCUGGGGAGUACGGCCGCAAGGCUG
rnacentral:rRNA from 1 species